GGGAUGUUGUACAGCUCACGCUCCCACAAAGCUUUGCAGGAGACCGUACAAUGAAAUUUGGUGCGUUUUUUUAACAUUUCGGCGCCAUUUUCGAUUGGACCCGAGAGCUGCUAGAGGACUGUUUCUCUGUGUUCCACCCUCCACCCAGCGCAAGAGACCAGCAGAAUGUACUAUAGCAGCACAUAAAUACUGGAGGUGAAUGUGGUGUUAUCCAGUAUUACUGUUCUGCUUUAGUAAGACCUGUCAGCACUUACAGACUCCAAAGAGCCACAGCAGAUCCUUCCCCGAGAGCUCAACAUACCCACUUGUGUGCUGUAAAAAUACAUG